rnacentral:rRNA from 1 species
UACGUAGGGGGCAAGCGUUAUCCGGAUUUACUGGGUGUAAAGGGAGCGUAGGCGGUAAUGCAAGUCAGAAGUGAAAGCCCGGGGCUCAACUCCGGGACUGCUUUUGAAACUGUGUUGCUAGGUUGCAGGAGAGGUAAGUGGAAUUCCUAGUGUAGCGGUGAAAUGCGUAGAUAUUAGGAGGAACACCAGUGGCGAAGGCGGCUUACUGGACUGUAAAUGACGCUGAGGCUCGAAAGCGUGGGGAGCAAACAGG